rnacentral:misc_RNA from 1 species
GAUGAAGAACGCAGCGAAAUGCGAUAAGUAAUGUGAAUUGCAGAAUUCAGUGAAUCAUCGAAUCCUUGAACGCACAUUGCGCCCGCCAGCAUUCUGGCGGGCAUGCCUGUUCGAGCGUCAUUUCAACCCUCGAGCCCCCCCGGGGGCCUCGGUGUUGGGGGACGGCACACCAGCCGCCCCCGAAAUGCAGUGGCGACCCCGCCGCAGCCUCCCCUGCGUAGUAGCACACACCUCGCACCGGAGCGCGGAGGCGGUCACGCCGUAAAACGCCCAACUUUCUUAGAGUUGACCUCGGAUCAGGUAGGAAUACCCGCUGAACUUAAGCAUAUCAAUAAGCGGAGGA